AUCCAUCUGACGAGUCCCAGAUGGGACGAAACGUGCAUCCUGGAU
rfam:Schistosoma mansoni, Puerto Rico, WGS project CABG01000000 data, contig: 0223